GCAGGCUGCAACUCGCCUGCAUGAAGUUGGAAUUGCUAGUAAUCGCGGAUCAGCAUGCCGCGGUGAAUACGUUCCCGGGCCUUGUACACACCGCCCGUCACACCAUGGGAGCCGGUAAUACCCGAAGUCAGUAGCCUAACCGCAAGGGGGGCGCUGCCGAAGGUAGGAUUGGCGACUGGGGUGAAGUCGUAACAAGGUACC
rnacentral:rRNA from 1 species